GUGAAGUGAGUUCAGUUGAAGUGAAUUGAAGUGAAGUGAGUUCAGUUGAAGUAAAGUGAAGUGAAGUGAGUUCAGUUGAAUUGAAGUGAAGUGAGUUCAUUUGAAGUGAAGUGAAGUGAGUUCAGUUGAAGUGAAGUGAAGUGAGUUCAGUUGAAGUGAAGUGAGUUCAUUUGAAUUGAAGUGAAGUGAAGUGAGUUCAGUUGAAGUGAAGUGAGUUCAGUUGAAGUGAAGUGAAGUGAAGUGAGUUCAGUUGAAGUGAAGUGAGUUCAGUUGAAGUGAAGUGAGUUGCUCCCUCAGUUUCUAUUGAACUUGUCAGGAAGAAGCCCUGGAACAGACCCUUUGACAACAUUCCCAGUCAAAGGCUGCAUUAACCCUUGCCGUGUGCACAGCAACCUCAAAUACACUCUGAACUCUUCAAAAGCAUUACAGCUCUACAACCUGAGCUUCAACCUAAUUUACACAAACCCUAAAACAGCAAUGCAGAGCCCAGAAGAGCUGCUUCAUGUGAUUAUCUGUGCAGACCUGCGCUCUGUCUGACUCCCCUGUUUAAUAGUGGCUGUAUUUAGCAGCAGAAGCAGCUGACUGCAGAGCAGGAAUAUUGAGGAGAGCGUCUCGCUGUCUCACCCAG